GAGGACGUGGGCAGAAGACAGUGUCUACAAGCCCAGGGGAGAGGCCUCGGGAGGAACCAGCACUUGACCUUGGACUUCCCGCCUCCAGAAUGCGGGCCCUGCACAUGAACUCCAACCCUUGAGUAAAGUAAAUUGGGAGACACCAAGGCUCAAAUAGCAAAUAGAAGCUCCAGGAACACAGAACACAGGAGGAGCGGGGCAUGGAGAAGAAGCCCCGCCCCCGCCCCACCCCACACCCUGGCGGGUCCCACAGCUACCUGCCGUCACCUGCUGUGUGCCAAGCACUGCCCCCUCCACAGCCCCGCCCCUGUCAUCAGAUUGAUCCGGUGGAGAGGUCAGUGGGGGCCAGCCGUGCCUGACUGUUUCCUAUGCCAGAGCCCAACCUGGACCCGGAGCCUCAGAGCGGGCCCCCGGGCAUCAAGGUCACACGUCCAGGUAAAGAGUUUUCCUUGUGGGAGUCCCUUGUCCGUGUCACCGUCCACUGCCCACAGCUCUGUCUCCAUCCACAUCCGGGGCGAGGGGAUCAGACAGGCUGCCUCCAACCCUGAGGCCAGACAAGGAAACACAGCUCGGGGUGGACAUAGCAACCAGGCCAAAAAUGCUGCCUCAGUGCCUCAGCCUCUACCAGGGACGGAAGCUGAAGAAGUGCUCCUAUCCGGAGCCCUAAGCCACCUCCGAGCACAGAAGUGCA